rnacentral:misc_RNA from 1 species
UGGACAGGGUUUCAAAAAAACAGAGAGAAAUGAGGUGAGAAGAGAAAUAGAGUUAGAUGAGGAGAGAAAAGAAUAUAGAGAUGAGAGAAAUUUCAUUGAUGAAUAUCAUUCUUGAAUGAAUCAUUCAUUACAGAUCUGCAUACUACUUUUAUAGACAAAGUAGUAACUGCCUCCUAACAACUCUUAACAGAAUCAGUUAGCUAAAACUGACU